GCCUGGGUGGCUUAGUCGGUUAAGCGUCUGACUUGGGCUCAGGUCAUGAUCUCCCGGAUUGUGAGUUGAAGCCCCACAUCAGGCU
rnacentral:tRNA from 1 species